rnacentral:tRNA from 1 species
AGUGAGAUAGUCUAAAAAAGGCGUUAGAUUGUAGCUCUAGAAAUAACUUAUGUUUCUCAUAA